rnacentral:piRNA from 1 species
UAGAUCUUACUACUACUUCAGAAUUGGUGU